AUCAGCACGCUUCCGCGAAGGAAGUGAGGACAAUCCUGGCUCGCGCCGGGCGCUGUUUCUUCCCAGACUCCAGGACCGGCUGCGGCGGCUGUAGCGGCGCAGGGUGUUUUAACUCAAAUGGGUGAUGAAAAGGACUCUUGGAAAGUGAAAACGUUAGAUGAAAUUCUCCAGGAAAAGAAACGAAGGAAAGAACAAGAGGAGAAAGCAGAGAUAAAACGCUUAAAAAAUGUAAGCUAUGUUUUUUAAGUAAGUGGUUUUCUUAAAGAAGAUUUAAUUUCUUUGCCCUCAUUUUUCCAUUAGAACAACGCUUCUUCGGUGAAGUUCUUUUGUACUUCCAAAUGUCACAGUCUGAUGACCGGGAUUCCAAAAGGGAUUCCCUUGAGGAGGGGGAGCUGAGAGAUCAUCGAAUGGAAAUCACAAUCAGGAACUCACCAUACAGAAGAGAGGAUUCUAUGGAAGACAGAGGAGAGGAGGAUGAUUCUCUGGCCAUCAAACCACCCCAGCAAAUGUCUCGAAAAGAAAAGGCUCAUCACAGAAAAGAUGAGAAAAGAAAAGAGAAGCGUCGACAUCGUAGUCACUCAGCAGAGGGAGGGAAACAUGCCCGAGUAAAAGAGAAAGAAAGAGAACACGAGCGGCGGAAACGGCAUCGAGAGGAACAGGAUAAAGCACGAAGAGAAUGGGAAAGACAGAAGAGGAGGGAGAUGGCAAGAGAGCAUUCCAGGAGAGAGAGGGACCGCCUGGAGCAGUUAGAAAGGAAGAGGGAGCGGGAGCGCAAGAUGAGGGAGCAACAGAAGGAACAGCGGGAACAAAAGGAACGGGAACGGAGGGCAGAGGAGCGCCGCAAAGAGAGAGAAGCUCGUAGGGAAGUCUCUGCACAUCACCGUACCAUGAGGGAGGACUACAGUGAUAAGGGAAAGGUUGGCCACUGGAGCCGCAGCCCUUUGAGGCCACCAAGAGAGCGCUUUGAGCUGGGAGACAACCGGAAGCCAGUGAGAGAAGAGAAGGUGGAAGAAAGAGACCUGCUGUCGGACCUCCAGGACAUCAGUGACAGUGAGAGGAAGACCAGCUCAGCUGAGUCCUCAUCAGCAGAAUCAGGCUCAGGUUCUGAGGAGGAGGAGGAGGAGGAGGAGGAAGAAGAGGAGGAGGAAGGGAGCACCAGUGAAGAGUCAGAGGAAGAGGAAGAAGAGGAAGAGGAGGAAGAGGAGGAGGAAACUGGGAGCAACUCUGAGGAAGCCUCAGAACAGUCUGCUGAAGAAGUCAGUGACGAAGAAAUGAGUGAAGAUGAAGACAGAGAAAAUGAGAACCACAUCUUGGUUGUUCCAGAGUCGCGAUUUGACCGAGAUUCUGGGGACAGUGAUGAAGGAGAAGAAGAAGUUGGUGAGGGGACACCGCAGAGCAGCGCCCCUACCGAGGGAGACUAUGUGCCCGACUCUCCAGCUCUGUCACCUAUUGAGCUAAAACAAGAGCUGCCCAAGUACCUGCCAGCCCUGCAGGUCAGACUUUCCAGAUGAGAUUGUGGCUCUGAAGCGGUUAAAGAUGGAGAAGGAGAAGGAAGGCUUCCCAAUCACAUCACUGAGGGAAAUCAACACCAUCCUCAAGGCCCAGCACCCCAAUAUCGUCACUGUCAGAGAAAUUGUUGUGGGAAGCAACAUGGACAAGAUCUACAUUGUGAUGAACUAUGUGGAACACGACCUCAAGAGCCUAAUGGAGACAAUGAAACAGCCCUUCCUGCCAGGGGAGGUGAAGACCCUGAUGAUUCAGCUGUUGAGUGGGGUGAAGCACCUCCAUGACAAUUGGAUCCUACAUCGUGACCUUAAGACCUCUAACCUUCUGCUGAGCCAUGCUGGCAUUCUCAAGGUGGGCGACUUUGGGCUGGCUCGGGAGUAUGGUUCACCCCUAAAGGCCUACACUCCAGUUGUUGUAACCCUGUGGUAUCGUGCCCCAGAACUG
rnacentral:lncRNA from 1 species